UCGAGAAUUUUUCUCAAUGGGGGAAACCCUGAAGGAGCGACGCCGCGUGGAGGAUGAAGGUCUUCGGAUUGUAAACUCCUGUCAUUGGGGAACAAAGCUUACGGUUAACUGCCGUGGAGCGUGCUAGUACUCAAAGAGGAAGGGACGGCUAACUCUGUGCCAGCAGCCGCGGUAAUACAGAGGUCCCGAGCGUUGUUCGGAAUUAUUGGGCGUAAAGGGUGCGUAGGCGGUAUGGUAAGUUAGAUGUGAAAUGUCGGCGCUUAACGCCGAACCUGCAUUUAAGACUGCCGUGCUUGAACACUAGAGAGGAGUCUGGAAUUUACGGUGUAGCAGUGAAAUGCGUAGAUAUCGUAAGGAAGACCAGUGGCGAAAGCGAGACUCUGGCUAGAUGUUGACGCUGAGGCACGAAAGCUGGGGGAGCGAACG
rnacentral:rRNA from 1 species